GAGGGGCAGGAAACUCGAACCGCGUGACGUGGGCGGCCGGCGCCGGGGGGCGCUAGCGGCAGCCCCGGGAGAGAGACCCCGAGGAACUAUCUUCUCCCGGCGUCCAGACUCCAGUCGUCCCAGGGCGUUCUCAACGAGUGGUCCAAGCUCCCCAGACCGUUCAGUUCUCAGCGAGCCGAGCCGCAACGAACACCAGCCAAGAUGGAGGCCAUCAAGAAGAAGAUGCAGGCGAUGAAGCUGGAGAAGGAUAAUGCGGUCGACAGGGCAGAGACCGCGGAAGGGCAGUCCAGGGAGGCCGCUCUGCGCGCCGAGAAGGCUGAAGAAGAGGUGCGCAGCCUUCAGAAGAAGAUCCAGUCCAUCGAGAAUGAGCUGGACCAGGUGCAGGAGCAGCUGUCCCAGGCCAACAGCAAACUGGAGGAGAAGGACAAGGCUCUGCAGGCCGCUGAGGCUGAGGUUGCCGCCCACAACCGACGCAUCCAGCUGCUGGAGGAGGACCUGGAACGCUCUGAGGAACGACUCAAGAUUGCCACCCAGAAACUGGAAGAGGCCUCCCAGGCGGCUGACGAAAGCGAACGCAUCCGCAAGGCACUGGAGAACCGCACCAACAUGGAAGAUGACCGGAUCACACUGCUUGAGAACCAGCUGGGCCAGGCACGCCUCAUAGCUGAGGAGUCUGACAAAAAAUAUGAAGAGAUGGCACGCCGCAUCGCCCUUUUGGAGGCUGACCUGGAAAGGGCUGAGGAGAGGGCCUCCACGGGCGAGAGCAAAAUUGUGGAACUUGAGGAGGAGCUGCGUGUCGUGGGCAACAACCUGAAGUCCCUGGAAGUGAGCGAAGAGAAGGCCCAGCAGCGUGAGGAGUCGUAUGCGCUUCAGAUCAGCACAAUGACUGCCAAACUGAAGGAGGCCGAGGCCCGGGCUGAAUUUGCCGAGAGGUCAGUGCAGAAGCUGCAGAAGGAAGUGGACAGACUGGAAGACGAGCUGCUUGUGGAGCGCGAGAAGAACCACAUGCUCCAGGAAGAGGUGGAGACCACCCUGAAGGACCUGCAGUCCAUGUGACCGGGCUCUCCGGCGCCCCGCUCUGCCUGCCACUGCUUUCUUCCCCCCUCUGUCCAGACGAGCUUGUCCAGGAGAAGGAGAAGUACAAGGCCAUCUCGGACGAGCUGGAUCAGACCUUCUCUGAACUCACUGGCUACUAAGCUCCAUGCAAAGGGACUGGCGCCACCGUCGUUUCUACCGCUGCUCUGCCAACGUUUCACUCUCACUUCGUCGUUGUCGUUGGGGGGUUAGGCUAGGACAGCAGGGGGACACAAGAAAAAUGCCUUUUUACCCAAUCAGAGAUCGGGAGACAGGGAGAGGGGCCUGUUGUAACCCGCCGCCUUGUCCACCCAAAUUGGCCUGGGACACAUUUGGCACUGCAUUUGCCAGUGGCCAUUGCCUCAUUGCAUUGUUGGACUGAAAGGUUUGGGAAGGAGCUACUGUUUUCUUCUUUUGUCCCCUGUACUCUUGUUACAACAUGGAUAGACAGUGCCUCUCCCCUCUCUUUUUCAUUGACUGUUGUUUGAGACGCCAACCACACAUACAGACACAGAGAAGAACUAGCACUCUUCUUGUAUUUUUUUUUCUUCAGCUCUAUGCAUUUCCCCCCUUUUUUUUUCUCCUUAAUUUCGGCAAGGUUGUAAGUAUUUUACAUCUUGUUUUCCUGCAGAUGUGAGGAUGUGUAAUGAAUGCUCCCAUGCUUUAUUUUUAUUUUUUUUAUUGGGACGGGAAAGCAAAGAGAGUGUUAAGUUUUGUGCCUAGGAAUUCGAGGAAAGUGUUUUUUUGACACGUGUUGUACUCUGGACAUGACUGGAUGCCCUAGUAGCAUUGCCUGCAUCUUGGGUGCACCAGCCGUUUCUAGAGCAAACAAGGUUGAUUGAUAAAAACCAAAACUGCCAAGCAAUUUGUAUGCCAAUAUAUCUGGUAAUAAAAGAAAACCAUAUUUAAAGGUGCUCUGGCAAAAA